CCUACGGGUGGCAGCAGUGGGGAAUAUUGGACAAUGGGGGGGAACCCUGAUCCAGCCAUGCCGCGUGUGUGAAGAAGGCCCUCGGGUUGUAAAGCACUUUCAGUGAGGAAGAACGCCUGGUGGUUAAUACCCAUCAGGAAAGACAUCACUCACAGAAGAAGCACCGGCUAACUCCGUGCCAGCAGCCGCGGUAAUACGGAGGGUGCGAGCGUUAAUCGGAAUUACUGGGCGUAAAGCGCGCGUAGGUGGCUUGAUAAGCCGGUUGUGAAAGCCCCGGGCUCAACCUGGGAACGGCAUCCGGAACUGUCAAGCUAGAGUGCAGGAGAGGAAGGUAGAAUUCCCGGUGUAGCGGUGAAAUGCGUAGAGAUCGGGAGGAAUACCAGUGGCGAAGGCGGCCUUCUGGACUGACACUGACACUGAGGUGCGAAAGCGUGGGUAGCAAACAGGAUUAGAUACCCGUGUAGUC
rnacentral:rRNA from 1 species